GUUGCCAAGUUUCCUCGACCACAUCCCGCUGUAAUGUGGGGCAUCAUCCAUCAUCAUCAUCAAAAAAAUCCAUCCAUCGACGCCAUCCCAAGAGAAGAGAAGAGCAUCCAAGAAAGCGAGGCGAGGCUGACUUUCCUUUCUCUUUGUUCUUCGUUCACGAACGCAUCCGCUAACUCCUGUCGAAGAAGCUGACAUAGAAUAGAAGUUUUCAAUUUCUUCUCCAUCGCAAAAAAAAAAAAAAAAAAAAAAAAAAAAAAGAGGAAGAAACUAGAAACGAAUUGAAGAACAGCUUGCAGAGAAUUCCACGAGCGGAGAGAAGAAAGAGAGAUGCCGGAGCCUAGCAAAGAGCCAUGUAAGAAGCAAGCUUGUGAUAUUCAAGCUUGCCUUGCCAAGAGCAAUUUCAAUCCACAAAGGUAUUUGUAAAUCUUGUUUUACUCUGAGACGAGUCCAUCCUCCCAGUCCGCAUCUCCAUUAGAAUUUGGGUGUUGAUAAUGGACCAAUUGAUUUGAGAUUGUCAAGGUACUCUUGAAAUGUUGCUUCGCAUCAAAAGCAAGAAAACAAAUUGCUACUGUCGGUUAGAAAGACUUGAAUUUAGACAGAUUUACUCGAAAGUGAUGAGAAUUGAUACACAGUGAAAAUGAUGACAAUGGAUACCUUUGUGGAAGUUGAGUUGGUUAGACACCUACAGUCUUCAGAAGUGGGCCCCUGACAGGUUUAUUCAUAGUAAAAAUGAUGAGAAUGGAUACCUGUGUGGAAGUUGUGGUGGUUAAGACUCUUGCAGAUGGCUUCAGAAGUGUCUGCUGACUGUUAUUGUGCCGGAAGAUGAGUACAAAAUUGCAGUUGACUGUUGAAUAUGUAAUAGAGGAACAGUUUUAUAGGCAACAGAGGCGGAUAAUUUUGGUACUCUUUAGUUUCAGCGUUCUUUAACCGAAAGAAAUAUCAGCGGCUUAAAUGAUGUGGCAUCUCAUCAUUGCGGAUGUGAUAAAAAUUGUAUGACAUGUUUUCAGGUUUUUACUCUGAUUAGGAUGUGAAUCAUGCCACUUUCAGUUCUACAUUGUUUGUAAACCUCUUCCUGAAGUCAUACACAUUUACCCAGAAAUGACACCUUGUCCAUGUAAAUUGUGUAAAAA